rnacentral:rRNA from 1 species
UACGUAGGGUGCGAGCGUUGUCCGGAAUUAUUGGGCGUAAAGGGCUCGUAGGCGGUUUGUCACGUCGGGAGUGAAAACUCGGGGCUUAACCCCGAGCCUGCUUCCGAUACGGGCUGACUAGAGGUAUGCAGGGGAGAACGGAAUUCCUGGUGUAGCGGUGAAAUGCGCAGAUAUCAGGAGGAACACCGGUGGCGAAGGCGGUUCUCUGGGCAUUACCUGACGCUGAGGUGCGAGAGCGUGGGGAGCGAACCGG